rfam:Rachicladosporium antarcticum strain CCFEE 5527 scaffold_53, whole genome shotgun sequence.
CUCUCCAUAGCUCAGUUGGAAGAGCGCAAGACUGUAAUGGAAACUGUUCAUCUUGAGGUCCCUAGUUCGAACCUUGGUGGGGAGA